CCUAUAUAUACAAUACCGCAGACACAUUAGGGUUCAGGGUCUUUAGACUCAUCAAAACCCUUUGGAGAGCUCCGCCGUCGUUUUGAAGUAGCACCACCUUUCCCCACCCAACAUGAGGGCCAAGUGGAAGAAGAAGCGCAUGAGGAGAUUGAAGAGGAAGCGCCGAAAGAUGAGGCAGAGAUCGAAGUAGACACCUUUGGGGUCUCAAUCUGCAUCAAGCUUCUGGUGGAGUUUUGUAGACUGGAGCCUGUAGGAUGUUUAUGAGUGAUUAAUUCCUUUCUUUCUUAGAUUGGGAUUAUGACUAUCUUAUGUUAUGUUUUAAAUUUCAAGUCUUUUGAUUAUGUGUUUCGAACUUAAUGGCUCUACUAGUUUUAUCGAGUUUUUAUGCAACUUCAUGGAUCUUAUGAUGCUCAAGCUUUCGGUUUUUAAUUUAUCAUAUUAUGGGUUGCGUGUUCUUAUGA